AUUGAACGCUGGCGGCAUGCUUUACACAUGCAAGUCGAACGGAAACAGGCCGCAAGGUGCUGACGAGUGGCGAACGGGUGAGUAAUGCAUCGGAACGUGCCCAGUCGUGGGGGAUAACUACUCGAAAGAGUAGCUAAUACCGCAUACGAUCUAUGGAUGAAAGCGGGGGACCGUAAGGCCUCGCGCGAUUGGAGCGGCCGAUGUCAGAUUAGGUAGUUGGUGGGGUAAAGGCUCACCAAGCCAACGAUCUGUAGCUGGUCUGAGAGGACGAGCAGCCACACUGGGACUGAGACACGGCCCAGACUCCUACGGGAGGCAGCAGUGGGGAAUUUUGGGCAAUGGGCGCAAGCCUGAUCCAGCAAUGCCGCGUGCAGGAAGAAGGCCUUCGGGUUGUAAACUGCUUUUGUACGGAACGAAACGACUCUGGUUAAUACCCGGAGCUAAUGACGGUACCGUAAGAAUAAGCACCGGCUAACUACGUG
rnacentral:rRNA from 1 species